AGUGAACGCUGGCGGUAGGCCUAACACAUGCAAGUCGAACGGCAGCACAGUAAGAGCUUGCUCUUACGGGUGGCGAGUGGCGGACGGGUGAGGAAUACAUCGGAAUCUACUUUUUCGUGGGGGAUAACGUAGGGAAACUUACGCUAAUACCGCAUACGACAUACGGGUGAAAGCAGGGGAUCUUCGGACCUUGCGCGAUUGAAUGAGCCGAUGUCGGAUUAGCUAGUUGGCGGGGUAAAGGCCGACCAAGGCGACGAUCCGUAGCUGGUCUGAGAGGAUGAUCAGCCACACUGGAACUGAGACACGGUCCAGACUCCUACGGGAGGCAGCAGUGGGGAAUAUUGGACAAUGGGCGCAAGCCUGAUCCAGCCAUACCGCGUGGGUGAAGAAGGCCUUCGGGUUGUAAAGCCCUUUUGUUGGGAAAGAAAAGCAGCAGGUUAAUACCCCGCUGUUCGGACGGUACCCAAAGAAUAAGCACCGGCUAACUUCGU
rnacentral:rRNA from 1 species